CACUAUACAUACAGAGCUCCUUCAACUAUACAUACAGAGCUCCAUCAUACAGAGCUCCCUGCACUGUACAUACAGAGCUCCAUCAUACAGAGCCCCCUGCACUGUACAUACAGAGCUCCAUCAUACAGAGCUCCCUGCACUAUACAUAUAGAGCUCCAUCAUACAGAGCCCCCUGCACUGUACAUACAGAGCUCCAUCAUACAGAGCUCCCUGCACUAUACAUACAGAGCUCCAUCAUACAGAGCUCAAUGCACUAUACAUACAGAGCUCCCUGCACUAUACAAAGCUCCAUCAUACAGAGCUCCCUGCACUAUACAUACAGAGCUCCAUCAUACAGAGCUCCCUGCACUAUACAUACAGAGCUCCUUCAACUAUACAUACAGAGCUCCCUGCACUAUAUAUACAGAGCUCCAUUAUACAGAGCUCCUUCAACUAUACAUACAGAGCUCCCUGCACUAUACAUACAGAGCUCCAUCAUACAGAGCUCCCUGCACUAUACAUACAGAGCUCCAUCAUACAGAGCUCCCUGCACUAUACAUACAGAGCUCCCUGCACUAUACAUGCAGAGCUCCAUUAUACAAAGCUCCCUGCACUAUACAUACAGAGCUCCAUCAUACAGAGCUCCCUACACUAUACAUACAGAGCUCCAUCAUACAGAGAUCCCUGCACUAUACAUACAGAGCUCCAUUAUACAAAGCCCCCUGCACUAUACAUACAGAGCUCCAUCAUACAGAGCUCCCUACACUAUACAUACAGAGCUCCACCAUACAGAGCUCCCUGCACUAUACAUACAGAGCUCCUUCAACUAUACAUACAGAGCUCCAUCAUACAGAGCUCCCUGCACUAUACAUACAGAGCUCCACCAUACAGAGCUCCCUGAACUAUACAUACAGAGCUCCUUCAACUAUACAUACAGAGCUCCAUCAUACAGAGCUCCCUGCACUAUACAUACAGAGCUCCAUCAUACAGAGCUCCCUGCACUAUACAUACAGAGCUCCAUCAUACAGAGCUCCUUCAACUAUACAUACAGUGCUCCAUCAUACAGAGCUCCCUGCACUAUACAUACCGAGCUCCAUCAUACAGAGCUCCCUGCACUAUACAUACAGAGCUCCAUCAUACAGAGCUCCCUGCACUAUACAAACAGAGCUCCACCAUACAGAGCUCCCUGCACUAUACAUACAGAGCUCCUUCAACUAUACAUACAGUGCUCCAUCAUACAGAGCUCCCUGCACUAUACAUACCGAGCUCCAUCAUACAGAUCUCCCUGCACUAUACAUACAGAGCUCCAUCAUACAGAGCUCCCUGCACUAUACAUACAGAGCUCCACCAUACAGAGCCCCCUGCACUGUAUAUACAGAGCUCCAUCAUACAGAGCUCCCUGCACUAUACAUACAGAGCUCCAUCAUACAGAGCCCCCUGCACUGUACAUACAGAGCUCCCUGCACUAUACAUACAGAGCUCCAUCAUACAGAGCCCCCUGCACUAUACAUACAGAGCUCCCUGCACUAUAUAUACAGAGCUCCAUUAUACAGAGCUCCCUGCACUGUAAUACAGAGCUCCAACAUACAGAGCUCCCUACACUAUACAUACAGAGCUCCAUCAAACAGAGCUCCCUGCACUAUACAUACAGAGCUCCAUCAUACAGAGCUCCCUGCACUAUACAUACAGAGCUCCAUCAUACAGAGCUCCCUGCACUAUACAUACAGAGCUCCCUGCACUAUAUAUACAGAGCUCCAUUAUACAGAGCUCCCUGCAAUGUAAUACAGAGCUCCAUCAAACAGAGCUCCCUGCACUAUACAUACAGAGGUCCUUCAAAUAUACAUACAGAGCUCCAUCAUACAGAGCUCCCUGCACUAUACAUACAGAGCUCCAUCAUACAGAGCUCCUUCAACUAUACAUACAGAGCUCCAUCAUACAGUGCACCCUGCACUAUACAUACAGAGCUCCAUCAUACAGGGCUCCCUGCACUAUACAUACAGAGCUCCAUUAUACAAACCCCCUGCACUAUACAUACAGAGCUCCAUCAUACAGAGCUCCCUACACUAUACAUACAGAGCUCCACCAUACAGAGCUCCCUGCACUAUACAUACAGAGCUCCUUCAACAAUACAUACAGAGCUCCUUCAACUAUACAUACAGUGCUCCAUCAUACAGAGCUCCCUGCACUAUACAUACCGAGCUCCAUCAUACAGAGCUCCCUGCACUAUACAUACAGAGCUCCAUCAUACAGAGCUCCCUGCACUAUACAUACAGAGCUCCACCAUACAGAGCUCCCUGCACUAUACAUACAGAGCUUCUUCAACUAUACAUACAGAGCUCCAUCAUACAGAGCUCCCUGCACUAUAUAUACAGAGCUCCAUUAUACAGAGCCCCCUGCACUGUACAUACAGAGCUCCAUCAUACAGAGCCCCCUGCACUGUACAUACAGAGCUCC
rnacentral:lncRNA from 1 species